rnacentral:lncRNA from 1 species
GGGCAUUGGUGUAGUUGGGCAUGUAAGUUCAUUUUUUUCUUUGUUUUCGUGUGAAUAGAUUGAUGGAUUUGGGGAUAUAGGUUUUUGUUGAAGGGUUUUGUUUUCGAACUUGAGUUUCUUUCUUAAUCACUUUUGAAGGGAAAUGAAAGGUGAUAAAGGAGGUUGUACACCAAGGAGCAUAGGUUCUGGAAUGUCCCAAAC